rnacentral:rRNA from 1 species
GAUGAACGCUGGCGGCGUGCCUAAUACAUGCAAGUCGAGCGAACGGACGAGAAGCUUGCUUCUCUGAUGUUAGCGGCGGACGGGUGAGUAACACGUGGAUAACCUACCUAUAAGACUGGGAUAACUUCGGGAAACCGGAGCUAAUACCGGAUAAUAUUUUGAACCGCAUGGUUCAAAAGUGAAAGACGGUCUUGCUGUCACUUAUAGAUGGUUCCGCGCUGCAUUAGCUAGUUGGUAAGGUAACGGCUUACCAAGGCAACGAUGCAUAGCCGACCUGAGAGGAUGAUCGGCCACACUGGAACUGAGACACGGUCCAGACUCCUACGGGAGGCAGCAGUAGGGAAUCUUCCGCAAUGGGCGAAAGCCUGACGGAGCAACGCCGCGUGAGUGAUGAAGGUCUUCGGAUCGUAAAACUCUGUUAUUAGGGAAGAACAUAUGUGUAAGUAACUGUGCACAUCUUGACGGUACCUAAUCAGAAAGCCACGGCUAACUACGUG